AAAAUAUAAUUGCUGUUAAUUUUGUAUUUGGGUGUUCAAAACCGAAAAUAGCAUUAAAAAUGAACACCAUUAACUGCCCUAUAAGCAACAAACCCACAAAGUUUGUCCGGGUCAGUGUCCUAUAUUAAUGCAUAGCCAACAACGAAAUAGAUUCCAACACAAAAACACCAUUCAAUAAUGAAUCACUUUGAUGGCCUCUGAUACAAAUCACAAGCAUAAUUCUGCCGCAAAUUAACAAAUUCCAACUCUACAGCCUGAAAACACAAAUGGGAACCGUUUCCGUUUUCCAAUUUCACCUUCAUGAUCCAAAACCAGAAGAAAAUAAUUCACCAUCUUUGACCCUGCCCACAACAAUAAUAUUAAUUGAUAACUAGCUAUUAUUCUUGUAAUGAUGAACACAGAGCUUCAAAGCCUGAAAAAAUUAGAAUCGGUAAGUCUGAAAAGUUCACAAGAACUUGAUGAUGAAGAAGAGCAUAGAUACACGAGUUUAAAAGACAUCAUUGUGAAUUCGCCUUCAAGCUCUGCAUUAAGUUGCGAAGCAUAUGAUUUCAACCCAUCAAAUAUUAUGAUUAGCAAUCUUCUGGUGAAACAUGCAGCUUCAGUUUACCUACAAUCAACUGCGAUUCUUAUGAACAGAAACCAAAACUGGUUCGCGAGAUUCUGGGAGAGUGUAAAGAACAGGAUUGCAUCAGUUUCAUGCUGGUAUUGUUGCCAUGUUUAUGACCCUUUACGAGCUUGUUU
rnacentral:misc_RNA from 1 species